rnacentral:rRNA from 1 species
CCUACGGGGUGCAGCAGUGAGGAAUAUUGGUCAAUGGACGGAAGUCUGAACCAGCCAUGCCGCGUGCAGGAAGACGGCUCUAUGAGUUGUAAACUGCUUUUGUACAAGGGUAAACCUGAAUACGUGUAUUCAGCUGAAAGUACUGUACGAAUAAGGAUCGGCUAACUCCGUUCCAGCAGCCGCGGUAAUACGGAGGAUACAAGCGUUAUCCUGAUUUAUUGGGUUUAAAGGGUGCGUAGGCGGAUUGAUAAGUUAGAGGUGAAAUGUCCGAGCUUAACUCGGGAACUGCCUCUAAUACUGUUGUUCUAGAGAGUAGAUGCGGUAGGCGGAAUGUAUGGUGUAGCGGUGAAAUGCUUAGAGAUCAUACAGAACACCGAUUGCGAAGGCAGCUUACCAAUCUAUAUCUGACGUUGAGGCACGAAAGCGUGGGGAGCAAACAGGAUUAGAUACCCUUGUAGUC